GGGGCUGUGGCUCCGUGGCAGAGCAUCUGCUUGGGAUGCAGAAGGUUCCAGGUUCAAACCCUGGCGUCUCUA